GGACUACCCGGGUAUCUAAUCCUGUUUGCUCCCCACGCUUUCGCGUCUCAGCGUCAGCAACGAGCCAGAGGGCCGCCUUCGCCGCCGGUGUUCCUCCUGAUAUCUACGCAUUUCACCGCUACACCAGGAAUUCCACCCUCCUCUCUCGCGCUCUAGCCGGCUAGUUUCCAGUGCACUUCCGGAGCUGAGCCCCGGGAUUUCACACCAGACUUGGCCGACCGCCUACACGCCCUUUACGCCCAGUCAAUCCGAACAACGCUUGCACCCUCCGUCUUACCGCGGCUGCUGGCAC
rnacentral:rRNA from 1 species